rnacentral:rRNA from 1 species
AACGAACGCUGGCGGCAUGCCUAACACAUGCAAGUCGAACGAGACCUUCGGGUCUAGUGGCGCACGGGCGCGUAACGCGUGGGAACCUGCCUUUAGGUUCGGAAUAACUCAGAGAAAUUUGAGCUAAUACCGGAUGAUGUCUUCGGACCAAAGAUUUAUCGCCUUUAGAUGGGCCCGCGUUGGAUUAGCUAGUUGGUGGGGUAAAGGCCUACCAAGGCGACGAUCCAUAGCUGGUCUGAGAGGAUGAUCAGCCACACUGGGACUGAGACACGGCCCAGACUCCUACGGGAGGCAGCAGUGGGGAAUAUUGGACAAUGGGCGAAGGCCUGAUCCAGCAAUGCCGCGUGAGUGAUGAAGGCCUUAGGGUUGUAAAGCUCUUUUACCCGAGAUGAUAAUGACAGUAUCGGGAGAAUAAGCUCCGGCUAACUCCGUG